rnacentral:lncRNA from 1 species
ACUCCUGGUCAGAGCGGCCAUGCCUGAUCCAAGGAGGACCAGAGCAGUCUUCUAGACCCAGAGUGGGCUGCACUUGACUGAGUGGAAAACAAAGAAAGGAGAAGCAUGUCAACCCCGCCCUCCUAGGACAAUAAGAGCACAAGGGGCCUGGAAAUCCAGGAACCAAAGGUGGAAAACUCUCAUGAUGUUAGCGCCUGGAGGCGCGUGCCUGUAACCCCGGCAACCACGUAGAUGAUGCAGAAGGAUCCCGAAGUUUACGGCCAGAACUCAGUCGGACUCUUGUCUUAAAAGAGCUACACCCUCAAGUGAGUGAGAUAUCA